rnacentral:rRNA from 1 species
UACGUAGGGUGCAAGCGUUGUCCGGAAUUAUUGGGCGUAAAGCGCUCGUAGGCGGUCUGUUGCGUCCGCUGUGAAAACUCGGGGCUUAACCCCGAGCCUGCAGUGGAUACGGGCAGACUAGAGGUAGGUAGGGGAGAAUGGAAUUCCCAGUGUAGAGGUGAAAUUCGUAGAUAUUGGGUGGAACACCGGUGGCGAAAGCGGCUCUCUGGUCCGGACCUGACGCUGAGGCGCGAAAGCGUGGGGAGCAAACAGG